CAGGCUGGUCUCAAACUCCCGACCUCAGGCGAUCCGCCCAACUGGGCCUCCCAAAGUGCUGGGAUUACAGGCGUGAGCCACCACACCCAACCAGGUAAUUUAAAUGAACUAGUUAAACAUGGUCUGCGUGCCUUAAGAGAGACGCUUCCUGCAGAACAGGACCUGACUACAAAGAAUGUUUCCAUUGGAAUUGUUGGUAAAGACUUGGAGUUUACAAUCUAUGAUGAUGAUGAUGUGUCUCCAUUCCUGGAAGGUCUUGAAGAAAGACCACAGAGAAAGGCACAGCCUGCUCAACCUGCUGAUGAACCUGCAGAAAAGGCUGAUGAACCAAUGGAACAUUAAGUGAUAAGCCAGUCUAUAUAUGUAUUAUCAAAUAUGUAAGAAUACAGGCACCACAUACUGAUGACAAUAAUCUAUACUUUGAACCAAAAGUUGCAGAGUGGUGGAAUGCUAUGUUUUAGGAAUCAGUCCAGAUGUGAGUUUUUUCCAAGCAACCUCACUGAAACCUAUAUAAUGGAAUACAUUUUUCUUUGAAAGGGUCUGUAUAAUCAUUUUCUAGAAAGUAUGGGUAUCUAUACUAAUGUUUUUAUAUGAAGAACAUAGGUGUCUUUGUGGUUUUAAAGACAACUGUGAAAUAAAAUUGUUUCACCGCCUGGUAUA
rnacentral:lncRNA from 10 species